UACGGGGGGGGGCAAGCGUUGUUCGGAAUUACUGGGCGUAAAGGGCGUGUAGGCGGCCAACUAAGUCCGACGUGAAAUCCCCAGGCUUAACCUGGGAACUGCGUCGGAUACUGGAUGGCUUGAAUCCGGGAGAGGGAUGCAGAAUUCCAGGUGUAGCGGUGAAAAUGCGUAGAUAUCUGGAGGAAUACCGGUGGCGAAGGCGGCAUCCUGGACCGGCAUUGACGCUGAAGCGCGAAAGCUAGGGGAGCAAACGGG
rnacentral:rRNA from 1 species